GGUUAUCCUCUCAUUCUAAUCCACAAAGAGCAGUUGUCUUGUUUCCUCGCCACUGGAUGUGAGAGGAGGGACUUUGAGACAUCUCCAACAGACAGGAUGGUGGGAAACUUCAUGACAGGAUUUCUUUGUGUAGCCCUGCCUGUCCUGGAUCUCACUAUGCAGACCAGGCUAUUCUGGAACUCAGACAUUCGCCUACUUCUGUCUCCUGAGAGCUGAAGUUAAAGGCAUGAACCCCCACACCUGGCUUAUCAUCUGUCUUCUCAACAAGAGACAGACUUCCCACAGAGAAGGGAUUCCAUUCCUGGGUUCACGAAGAGAUGCUGAGAUCUAUGUACCCUUGGAGUUGUACAAAAAGUUACAGGGAGCACAUUUCAGCAGAGAGGCUGAAGACUCUCGAGUGUCCCCCUAAAACCCUAGUCCGGGGCUGAGGUAGAAAGAUUGAGAGUUGGAGACUGGACUGGGUUACAUAACAAGAACCAAUCUAAAAGAAAGAAAAGAGUGUUUCCCCCAAUGCUAAAUACUGCUCAUGAAACUCCUCUUCCCUUUCAGCUAAAAAAGCCCAAGAACCUCCAAAGGCAGACAGCUUGGCUUGAGACAGGUUGGGAGCAGAGGCCAAAAGAAGGCAUUACAUUCUCUGGAACUGGAGUCACAGAUAGUUGUGAGCCACCAGGUGGGCACUGGGAAUCCAAGCUGGGUCCUCUAGAAGAGCGAGCGGCCAGUAUGAUCUUACCUCCUGA
rnacentral:lncRNA from 1 species